UCGUAACAAGGUUUCCGUAGGUGAACCUGCGGAAGGAUCAUUACCGAGUUUUCGAGCUCCGGCUCGACUCUCCCACCCUUUGUGAACGUACCUCUGUUGCUUUGGCGGCUCCGGCCGCCAAAGGACCUUCAAACUCCAGUCAGUAAACGCAGACGUCUGAUAAACAAGUUAAUAAACUAAAACUUUCAACAACGGAUCUCUUGGUUCUGGCAUCGAUGAAGAACGCAGCGAAAUGCGAUAAGUAAUGUGAAUUGCAGAAUUCAGUGAAUCAUCGAAUCUUUGAACGCACAUUGCGCCCCUUGGUAUUCCGGGGGGCAUGCCUGUUCGAGCGUCAUUACAACCCUCAAGCUCUGCUUGGAAUUGGGCACCGUCCUCACUGCGGACGCGCCUCAAAGACCUCGGCGGUGGCUGUUCAGCCCUCAAGCGUAGUAGAAUACACCUCGCUUUGGAGCGGUUGGCGUCGCCCGCCGGACGAACCUUCUGAACUUUUCUCAAGGUUGACCUCGGAUCAGGUAGGGAUACCCGCUGAACUUAAGCAUAUCAAUAA
rnacentral:misc_RNA from 1 species